CCAAUAGCGUAUAUUAAAGUUGUUGCAGCUAAAAAGCUCGUAGUUGAAUUUCAGGCCUGGCUGGACGGUCCGCCCUUCGGGUGAGUACUGUCUGUGGUUGGGUCCUACCUUCUGGCGAAGCGUCAUGGCCCUAACCGGCCGUGGCGGGGAACCAGGACUUUUACUGUGAAAAAAUUAGAGUGUUCAAAGCAGGCAAUCGCUUGGAUACAUUAGCAUGGAAUAAUGGAAUAGGACAAUGGUUCUAUUUGUUGGUUUCUAGGACCGUUGUAAUGAUUCAUAGG
rnacentral:rRNA from 1 species